CGCACCGCGGGUUCCUCCGCGUCCCCCUGUGGCUCGCCGGUGUCUGGUUACUGCCGUGAGGGCGUCUCUGUGUCAGUUGGUUCAUCCAUUGCAUCCAUUCGAGAGCCCGCCGUGCUCCCGCGCUGGUGGCGGUCUUCAGGAGCCGGGACAUAGCGGCUGUGAGGGAUAGCUGACGUGAAGCGGCAGCACCGAGGUGAGCUCAGAGCGGCAGGGCGGAGGGCGCCCCUGGGGCGGGCCGCGAGGAGUGAGGCCAGCAAGCGGGCAGCGGGCCUCGGACCCGGGCGAGUUCCUGUCCGUGGAGAGACACUGUUAGAUUUGCAUUUCAGGAUGCCCUUUUAGGGGCUGUUUAGAAGGGCGAGAAUGAAGACCUGUGCAAGAGAAGAGAAGCCGAAAAGUUUCACAGAACCGAGAAGCCAGACGAUGUCGCUUGUCAUCGACCUGCCCUCAUUUGGGAGAGCUCGAAUGCUUUCCUCCUAUCCCACAGGUCCCCUCUGAGCACUGUGGUCCAACUACUACUCAAGCCUCAACGACCAGACUUCUCAGCUCUUGGGCACACCCCUUUCCUUUCCUGCAGGCACCUACAGUCAACUGCUGAAACAAACCUUUCUGCCACCCACCCCGCCACGCCCCUGUCCGUUUCAGAAUCUCCCAUCUCUUGUGGUCCCUUAUCCACUGGUCACAGGCAACCACUAAGCACAGUCAAAUGGAGAUAUCUGUUGAUAUGUGUGUUGCCCCCUCAGGCUAUGACCCCCUCAAGGGCAUGGACAGUAGUCUUCUGAGCUCUGAUGUCACAACUCUGAGCACAGUGUCUGACAGUGGACCAAAAGGGGAGUUAAGCAACACACCUCGCUUUCCCCUGCAGGCAGAGCCCAUCCUUUCUCUCCAUCUCAAUCUUCGUGUUCUCUCCAUGGACCCCUGUGAGCCAUUCCCACUCUGCCCAGUUCAGUAGCUGCCUCACCUAGGAAGCCACCUUUCCUGUUCUGUGCCUCCACUCCUGGCAUGGCAGGGGCCCACCUCUUCCAAACCCUGCAUCACAGAUGAUAUCAGCUUUCUUAAGUCUGGCUCAUGGGAGUACCUGUGUUUUACCUCCAUGUUGAGGAAGCUAGCCUGGAUCGUUUUGGCAACUCUUCAUCUCUGGGCCUCCUCCUUACUGUCAUGUCUCCUGUGAAGUCCGAGUUGAACUGCAGACUGGAGGUUCUCUGGAUGCCGGCCUGUCUUACUCAGUGAACCCUUACGUAGAUCACCGUAAGAGUGGAGGGGGCUUCCUUUGGCUUUCGAGUUGCCACUAUUGCUUCUAGUAUGAUUAGGAACUCCAUAAACCUAUACGGAAUGGAGACCAUGCUAUUUUCAUUACCGUGUGUCUAAGGAAAUGUUUGCAUUUUUCCUUCAUUAGGUCAGUGUAAACCUGACAAAAACCAUAAAAGAUGUAGUUUCAUAAAUUGUUAAAGGUAGAAGAGCCUUAUCUUCACUGAAUGUGUUCAUUUUAUCCCCAAGGAAAUAGGGGUUCAGAUGGCAAGUGAUUCCUCUAGUUCAUAACAGAGGCAUGCUUUAUUUCAUCCAUGUUCUUUUUACUCCUCCAAUAAUUUAUAUUAUGCUUACAAUUUAUAAGGUUUUUUUCCCAAGUACUGUCAACUCUUAACUAUUUGCAACCAAUUAACUGUGGUAAAAAUAA